GCCGAAGUGGUGGAAUGGCAGACGCACCGGACUCAAAAUCCGGCGGUAGCAAUACCGUGAGGGUUCAAGUCCCUCCUUCGGCACCA
rnacentral:tRNA from 1 species